CCUACGGGGGGCAGCAGUGGGGAAUAUUGGGCAAUGGAGGAAACUCUGACCCAGCAACGCCGCGUGAAUGAUGAAGGUCUUCGGAUUGUAAAGUUCUUUUCUAAGGGAAGAAGAAAGUGACGGUACCUUAGGAAUAAGCCUCGGCUAACUACGUGCCAGCAGCCGCGGUAAUACGUAGGAGGCAAGCGUUAUCCGGAAUGACUGGGCGUAAAGGGUGCGUAGGUGGUUUAACAAGUUAGUAGCGUAACUCAGGAGCUCAACCUCGGAACUACUACCAAAACUGUUGGUCUUGAGUGCAGGAGGGGUAAAUGGAAGUCCUAGUGUAGGGGUAGAAUGCGUAGAUAUUAGGAGGAACACCAGUGGCGAAGGCGAUUUGCUGGACUGUUACUGACACUGAGGCACGAAAGCGUGGGGAGCAAACAGGAUUAGAUACCCUUGUAGUC
rnacentral:rRNA from 1 species